rnacentral:rRNA from 1 species
UACGGGGGGGGCAAGCGUUGUUCGGAAUUACUGGGCGUAAAGCGCACGUAGGCGGAUCGAUCAGUCAGGGGUGAAAUCCCAGGGCUCAACCCUGGAACUGCCUUUGAUACUGUCGAUCUGGAGUAUGGAAGAGGUGAGUGGAAUUCCGAGUGUAGAGGUGAAAUUCGUAGAUAUUCGGAAGAACACCAGUGGCGAAGGCGACUCGCUGGACAAGUAUUGACGCUGAGGUGCGAAAGCGUGGGGAGCAAACAGG